rnacentral:rRNA from 1 species
UGAGGAAUAUUGGUCAAUGGACGCAAGUCUGAACCAGCCAUGCCGCGUGCAGGAUGAAGGUGCUAUGCAUUGUAAACUGCUUUUGUACGAGGGUAAAUGCAGGUACGUGUACCUGUUUGAAAGUAUCGUACGAAUAAGGGUCGGCUAACUCCGUGCCAGCAGCCGCGGUAAUACGGAGGACCCGAGCGUUAUCCGGAUUUAUUGGGUUUAAAGGGUGCGUAGGCGGAUUAGUAAGUUAGAGGUGAAAGCUCGAUGCUCAACAUCGAAAUUGCCUCUGAUACUGUUAGUCUAGAGUAUAGUUGCGGAAGGCGGAAUGUGUGGUGUAGCGGUGAAAUGCUUAGAUAUCACACAGAACACCGAUUGCGAAGGCAGCUUUCCAAGCUAUUACUGACGCUGAUGCACGAAAGCGUGGGGGAGCGAACAGGAUUAGAUACC